UACGGAGGGGACUAGCGUUGUUCGGAAUUACUGGGCGUAAAGCGCGCGUAGGCGGACUAUUAAGUCAGGGGUGAAAUCCCGGGGCUCAACCCCGGAACUGCCCUUGAUACUGGUAGUCUGGAGUUCUGGAGAGGUGAGUGGAAUUCCGAGUGUAGAGAUGUGGAGGAACACCAGUGGCGAAGGCGACUCUCUGGUCUGUAACUGACGCUGAGGUGCGAAAGCGUGGGGAGCGAACAGG
rnacentral:misc_RNA from 1 species